rnacentral:rRNA from 1 species
UGGGGAAUAUUGGACAAUGGGCGAAAGCAUGAUCCAGCCAUGCCGCGUGUGUGAAGAAGGUCUUCGGAUUGUAAAGCACUUUAAGUUGGGAGGAAGGGCAGUAAGCGAAUACCUUGCUGUUUUGACGUUACCGACAGAAUAAGCACCGGCUAACUCUGUGCCAGCAGCCGCGGUAAUACAGAGGGUGCAAGCGUUAAUCGGAAUUACUGGGCGUAAAGCGCGCGUAGGUGGUUCGUUAAGUUGAAUGUGAAAGCCCCGGGCUCAACCUGGGAACUGCAUCCAAAACUGGCGAGCUAGAGUAGGGCAGAGGGUGGUGGAAUUUCCUGUGUAGCGGUGAAAUGCGUAGAUAUAGGAAGGAACACCAGUGGCGAAGGCGACCACCUGGGCUCAUACUGACACUGAGGUGCGAAAGCGUGGGGAGCAAACAGG